rnacentral:rRNA from 1 species
UACGUAGGUGGCGAGCGUUGUCCGGAAUUACUGGGUGUAAAGAGUGUGUAGGCGGUGUUCUAAGUCUGUUGUGAAAUCUCCCGGCUUAACUGGGAGGGUGCGGCGGAAACUGGAAUGCUAGAGGAUGGGAGAGGUAAGCGGAAUUCCUGGUGUAGCGGUGAAAUGCGUAGAUAUCAGGAGGAACACCUGUGGUGUAGACAGCUUACUGGACCAUUUCUGACGCUGAGACACGAAAGCGUGGGUAGCAAACAGG